rnacentral:piRNA from 1 species
UCGAAUGACGUUAGGUGACAGGGUGCGUC